AGAGUUUGAUCCUGGCUCAGGACGAACGCUGGCGGCGCGCCUAACACAUGCAAGUCGAACGAGCGAGAGAGAGCUUGCUUUCUCGAGCGAGUGGCGAACGGGUGAGUAACGCGUGAGGAACCUGCCUCAAAGAGGGGGACAACAGUUGGAAACGACUGCUAAUACCGCAUAAGCCCACGGUGCCGCAUGGCACAGAGGGAAAAGGAGCAAUCCGCUUUGAGAUGGCCUCGCGUCCGAUUAGCUAGUUGGUGAGGUAACGGCCCACCAAGGCGACGAUCGGUAGCCGGACUGAGAGGUUGAACGGCCACAUUGGGACUGAGACACGGCCCAGACUCCUACGGGAGGCAGCAGUGGGGAAUAUUGCACAAUGGGGGAAACCCUGAUGCAGCGACGCCGCGUGGAGGAAGAAGGUCUUCGGAUUGUAAACUCCUGUUGUUGGGGAAGAUAAUGACGGUACCCAACAAGGAAGUGACGGCUAACUACGUGCCAGCAGCCGCGGUAAAACGUAGGUCACAAGCGUUGUCCGGAAUUACUGGGUGUAAAGGGAGCGCAGGCGGGAAGACAAGUUGGAAGUGAAAUCUAUGGGCUCAACCCAUAAACUGCUUUCAAAACUGUUUUUCUUGAGUAGUGCAGAGGUAGGCGGAAUUCCCGGUGUAGCGGUGGAAUGCGUAGAUAUCGGGAGGAACACCAGUGGCGAAGGCGGCCUACUGGGCACCAACUGACGCUGAGGCUCGAAAGUGUGGGUAGCAAACAGGAUUAGAUACCCUGGUAGUCCACACCGUAAACGAUGAUUACUAGGUGUUGGAGGAUUGACCCCUUCAGUGCCGCAGUUAACACAAUAAGUAAUCCACCUGGGGAGUACGACCGCAAGGUUGAAACUCAAAGGAAUUGACGGGGGCCCGCACAAGCAGUGGAGUAUGUGGUUUAAUUCGACGCAACGCGAAGAACCUUACCAAGUCUUGACAUCCCUUGACAGGCAUAGAAAUAUGUUUUCUCUUCGGAGCAAGGAGACAGGUGGUGCAUGGUUGUCGUCAGCUCGUGUCGUGAGAUGUUGGGUUAAGUC
rnacentral:rRNA from 1 species